AUUGAACGCUGGCGGCAUGCCUUACACAUGCAAGUCGAACGGCAGCACGGGUGCUUGCACCUGGUGGCGAGUGGCGAACGGGUGAGUAAUACAUCGGAACGUACCUUAUCGUGGGGGAUAACGCAGCGAAAGCUGUGCUAAUACCGCAUACGCCCUGAGGGGGAAAGCGGGGGCACGAAAGACCCCGCGCGAAUAGAGCGGCCGAUGCCUGAUUAGCUUGUUGGUGGGGUAAAAGCCCACCAAGGCGACGAUCAGUAGCUGGUCUGAGAGGACGAUCAGCCACACUGUGACUGAGACACGGCCCAGACUCCUACGGGAGGCAGCAGUGGGGAAUUUUGGACAAUGGGGGCAACCCUGAUCCAGCAAUGCCGCGUGAGUGAAGAAGGCCUUCGGGUUGUAAAGCUCUUUUGUCAGGGAAGAAACACCGGCUCUAACACAGUCCGGGAAUGACGGUACCUGAAGAAUAAGCACCGGCUAACUACGUGCCAGCCGCCGCCGUAA
rnacentral:rRNA from 1 species